GACGAACGCUGGCGGCGUGCUUAACACAUGCAAGUCGAACGGAAAGGCCCCUUUGGGGGUACUCGAGUGGCGAACGGGUGAGUAACAGUUGAGUAACCUUCCCUUGCCUUCGGGAUAACUUCAGCAAACUGGGGCUAAUACCGGUAAGGCAUCCUUGCUGCAUGGAGGGGGUUGGUAAGCUUCGGCGGCUUUGGAUGGACUCGCGGCUGAUCAGCUUGUUGGUGGGGUAGUGGCUUACCAAGGCGUUGACGGGUAGCCGGCAUGAGAGGGCGACCGGCCACAUUGGGACUGAGAUACGGCCCAGAAUCCUACGGGAGGCAGCAGUGGGGAAUAUUGCACAAUGGGCGGAAGCCUGAUGCAGCAACGCCGCGUGCGGGAUGACGGCCUUCGGGUUGAAAACCGCUUUCAGCAGGGGCGAAGCUUGUGGUGACGGUAGCUGCAGAAGAAGCACCGGCUAACUACGUG
rnacentral:rRNA from 1 species